UGACCCACAUGUCAUAGGUUCAAACUUCAUAAAUGUAUUCUUUUAUUUGUAAUAAAUGAAUUAUGACCCAUGUAAAAAUGAAACCUAGCUCUGCCACUGUUUAUGUUAAAGGCUGAAGUGUGAACUUUAAGGAAGAAAUUUCUAUCCAUCAUUCAACCAAAAAAAUAAAAAAUGAAAUUUCUAUCCAUCAUUCAACCAAAAAAAUAAAAAAUUGAUGUUCAUCAAUGGUUAAUGGAAGAAACAUAUUCGAGGCUACCAUCCCGAGAUAAAUGUAAAUGGUAUAAAUAUAUAUGAUGGAGAUUGUUUAUGUUCAUAGUUUAUCUUCAUAGAAGUUUGUUCAACGUGUAUGUGUAAACACAUGGAAAGGACAAAUACAUAAAAUAUGACUUGAUGAUGAUACCAUCAUACCAUGCUCACGAUUUAUAGGAAAAAGGGUUUAGCAACUUAAAGAGUAAAACAUAAUCUAUAUAUCUAUCUAUCUAUAAUAAUGUUUCCUCUCUCCUGGACCUUCUUCACGUUUCUGAAACGGAGUGCGUUAUUGUUUGAGAGGGAGAAGGAGAGGAGAUUAGCUUCUCAUAGAAGUGCUCUGGUGAGGAAGGAGAGUGAGAUUUCAGAAUAGGACAGGAGGAUUCGUUAAUUGGAGACUUGAUUAUCAGAAGAGGCAGAGAGAUUGCAGGCAGCUUCUGUGGAGUUUUCAAAUUUGCAGAGAGUCAGAGGGAGGUGAAACAACGAUUUGACAUGGCUAGGAAAGAGCUAGAAUCCAUGAAGUAUCCUCCUGCUGCUAUAAAUAGCCUGAAGCUGUAGUACCACAAUCGAAGUUCAUCUACUCAGUUUCUAGGAGGCAGAGCCGCUUACGCAAGCGCCAGCACCGGCUGAGGAAUGUAAAGAGAGGCGGUGAGCUGACAUGCUCCUCCACUAAGCGCCUCUUAUGCAUGCCACCGUCGACGUCCACCGUUUGAAUACCUUCGAACACCUUUUCAAGACUGGUUCGAUGUACGCGGUGAAUGGUUGACGCGGAGAAACCUUAACUUCAAAUUGUCCAACUCUCCUUUGUCAAUAUGUUUCAGUGACUUAACCGCCUUCGCCAAAAUAACAGAACCGGUGAACCUGAUACCUCAAGUCAAGAGCUGUUCCAGUUCCGCAAUUCCGAACAGCUGCUAGGCUUGGCAAACACCAACACAUCUUCCAGGUGAAUUAACCGCUAUUAGGGAUACUGUUGAUGAAUCCUUACAAGGCAAAGAAUCAGUACGUUUUUCUUAACUUUGCUUAUAAAGAACUCUACGGUAUCAUAAAUCAAGUAUAACUACCAAAAUAUGUUAACAUCACGUAGUUUGUCUGAAAUUCGCAAUGAUGUAUCUAUUUCCUUGAGCUGCUGCCUUUCAUAAACAAUCGUCAGACUUACAUGUUGACCUUAAAGUUAUUGUUGUAACGAGAAAAAAAAAACAAAGAUUGUAGGAGUUGCUUCCUCUUUUACAAUUUCACACAAUUGACUUUCUCUUUUGUAAUUCUUUUGCCGUGCAUUAAAAUGAAAAUAUUUUUUCAUGUGAUCACAAUACGUAAAUGGCGGCCCUGGAGAUGAUGUGCCCCGAGUUAGCACCUUCCAGCCAUGAUCAAUGUCAUGGUGAUGACAAUGAAAAAGAUCCAGCUAUUGAAACAAUCUAAGGUGGUCUGUCAGCCACUAACUCUCUGUUCUCUACGUCUUCCAAGGCAAAUAAGAAGGCACACAUUGCAUAGUUGGAGAAGGAUGCAGUUUCUUAGUCAUAGACUCACAGAAGCAGCUACUAAAAUAUUGCUUAAGCAUAGUUUUUUUGUUUUUAGUAAAACUUCAUCUGCUGUUGACAGUUAUCCUUAAACUAUAAAGACUAUUGUAUUUGGAUUUCCUCAUAUUUACCCAUAUAUCAAUGAGGAAAUAACGGUGCUACAAGCAAAUCUCAUUGACGAAUAUUACAACUUAUAUGUUAUCUGUAAUAUUUGUCGACAAGGUAGCUACUAGAAUAAUGAUCAAGCCUGUUUGUUAUUUUCUUA